AUUGAACGCUGGCGGCAGGCUUAACACAUGCAAGUCGAGCGGGGUGAUGGUGCUUGCACUAUCACUUAGCGGCGGACGGGUGAGUAAGGCUUAGGAAUCUGCCUAUUAGUGGGGGACAACAUCUCGAAAGGGAUGCUAAUACCGCAUACGUCCUACGGGAGAAAGCAGAGGAUCACUUGUGACCUUGCGCUAAUAGAUGAGCCUAAGUCGGAUUAGCUAGUUGGUGGGGUAAAGGCCUACCAAGGCGACGAUCUGUAGCGGGUCUGAGAGGAUGAUCCGCCACACUGGGACUGAGACACGGCCCAGACUCCUACGGGAGGCAGCAGUGGGGAAUAUUGGACAAUGGGGGGAACCCUGAUCCAGCCAUGCCGCGUGUGUGAAGAAGGCCUUAUGGUUGUAAAGCACUUUAAGCGAGGAGGAGGCUCUUUUGGUUAAUACCCAAGAUGAGUGGACGUUACUCGCAGAAUAAGCACCGGCUAACUCUGUGCCAGCCGCCGCGGUAA
rnacentral:rRNA from 1 species